UCGUUAUUAUUUGAACCGCACCGC
rnacentral:siRNA from 1 species